GAACGCACAUUGCGCCCCUUGGUAUUCCGAGGGGCAUGCCCGUUCGAGCGUCAUUAUAACCCCUCAAGCCCAGCUUGGUGUUGGGGCCUGCUGCUGCCGGCAGCCCUUAAAAUCAGUGGCGGUGCCAUCUGGCUCUAAGCGUAGUAAUACUUCUCGCUACAGGGUCCCGGUGGAUGCCUGCCAUCAACCCCUAAAUUUCUAUGGUUGACCUCGGAUCGGGUAGGGAUACCCGCUGAACUUAAG
rnacentral:misc_RNA from 1 species